GGCAGCACGGGGAGCCUUCAUGUCAGCUGGCCUGGGCGCUCCCUCCCUCACGAUGCUGCGCUGGCUUCAGCCUCCCUGAAACGUGAACAUUUCCUGUUUCCUGCUUGUUUGGGUGACAACACAGAACAAAUGGUGGAAGAAAAUAGACGCGAUCAAAACCCGAUGAUUGAUUGGAAAGCAACAGGGAAAGAACUAUUCAUCAAACUCUCGCUGCGCAAGGGAAUAGGCCACUGGCUCUGAGACCCUCUGGCGCUGAGUUUGGUUGGCAGUUACCCUGUACUCGCAUGCAUUUCCCAGCUGCCACACACCGGCAACAGAAGAGGCCCAGGGCUUGGAUCUCUCUUCAUUUCGCCACAUACCCCCUGUUAAAACCAUUGUUGGGUCCCAGGCUCAAGGCACGUGCUUGUCAAGGGCGAGGUGUCAGCCUUGGUUUCUUUGAUUUUAAAACCACAGAAGGUCUUAUUCUGCAGCCCCCUGCAGAGGCCUGGCCAGACGGUUCCUCAGAGCUGCUACAAGUGCACCGGCGUUACUUCUGAGCAAGCACAGCCCUCCAUCGGUUAGAAUGAUGUGCAGAAUAAACUGAGGCCGCGGAGACAUCCUGCACAACCGUAUAAUUUUCUUUUGACCUCUGUGCUCUCUGAGACCCUUGCCGUGAUUAAACUGAUCUUAGGGGGAA